UUCUCCCCCCUCCUCUGCCGCGGCUUGUUUAAGCCCCGACAGGCGGAGCCCACUAAGAGCCGAUGGCCGCACUCAAGGGGCUCACAGUCUGAUGCUGAAGUCAGACGCAAAACAGGCAGGCGGAGAGCAACGGCGAAGGUGCGAAGACGGAGGCUCUCCCGGCUCCCUCUGGGCCAGUCCUCCCCCAGCGCCGAGGAGGCCCUCUGGGCAGGCUUCGUGGAGGAGGCCAGCCUGGCCGGACCGCUGGGCGAAGGCGGCGGGGGUGGCGGUGCUUGGAGUUCGAGGAGGGGCGUGCGAAGAGGGGGCCACACCGGCCCCUGGGCCUGGCCUCUCCCGGCAGGGGACCGGCCCCACGGGCCCGUGCAGACGGGGCUCCCUCCUGGGCCCUCCCUGCGUCCCGGGCCGCCGGCCUCCGGGGUCCAGCCUCCCGCGAGGCCGCCGCGCCGCUCCCACGGCUCCGCGGAGUCCCCGGCCGGGCCGCCCGGGCUGCUCCCGCGGCGGGGGCGCGCCCCCCGGUUCCCGCCUCGCCGCGGCCCCUGCCCCUGCCGCCCCGCCGCGAUCCCCCACCCCCGCUCCCGCCCCCGCCGCGACCCCCCGCCCCCCCCUCCCGCCUCGCUGCCCCCGCCGCGCCCCCCCUCCGCUCAGGCUCCCGCAGCGCCCCCGCCCGGCACCGCCCCCGCCGGCGUCUGCUGGCCGCGCGCCUCCCGCUGAGUCAGCCGUGUCCACGGAAAGUUUUACUGGAACAGCAAGCUCCUUUGUUGCCUAGGUCCGCGGCUGCUUUGCACAACGACAGCAGAGUCGAGCCAUUGUGAGAGACGAUUGUACAAGGUUUGGCUACUGGGAGUCCGUGUGUCCUUUGCGUGCCCCCAUCAUCCUUUGAGCACUUCCUUACUGUCUAGCACAAGAUGUUCCAGGCUCCUCUGGUACUUUCCCUGCACCAGCCCUGGAAUCAACUGUUUCUGUAGAAGCCCUGGACAACAUGGAUGGACUGUUGCAGUGGAGUUCACCCACCCCAAAUGGGUCUUUGCAUGGGGGUCCAGCUGCACUCCAGUUUCGAAUGAUGAAGGCCUUGGGAGCGCCAGAGGGAGAGGCGCUUUCAAACUCUCCUGAUUGUCACCUACAGUAAAAAAAUAUGAGGACACUGAGGUCAGAGAGGUUAAGUGACUCACCCAAAGCUACACAGCGGGCAGAACCAGGAGCCCAGUGGUGGUGUGACUCUCUGUGGCCCAUGUUCCUUCGGGAGGGUGGCGCUGCGGCAGGCAGCGAUCCCCCGGCAAGGCGAGCCACGGCCCACACCCAGCCUGAAGCUACAUGUGCCUGUGAACCUAGUCCCAGGGGCCAGAGUGCGCAGCGAUGAGUCACCCCAGCCCGCUCCCACAUGGAGACCCUCCUCCCCAG
rnacentral:lncRNA from 1 species